AUUGAACGCUGGCGGCAGGCUUAACACAUGCAAGUCGAGCGGGGAAGGUUGCUUUGGUAACUGACCUAGCGGCGGACGGGUGAGUAAUGCUUAGGAAUCUGCCUAUUAGUGGGGGACAACAUUCCGAAAGGAAUGCUAAUACCGCAUACGCCCUACGGGGGAAAGCAGGGGAUCUUCGGACCUUGCGCUAAUAGAUGAGCCUAAGUCGGAUUAGCUAGUUGGUGGGGUAAAGGCAUACCAAGGCGACGAUCUGUAGCGGGUCUGAGAGGAUGAUCCGCCACACUGGGACUGAGACACGGCCCAGACUCCUACGGGAGGCAGCAGUGGGGAAUAUUGGACAAUGGGCAGAAGCCUGAUCCAGCCAUGCCGCGUGUGUGAAGAAGGCCUUUUGGUUGUAAAGCACUCUAAGCGAGGAGGAGGCUCCUUUAGUUAAUACCUAAAGAGAGUGGACGUUACUUGCAGAAUAAGCACCGGCUAACUCUGUGCCAGCCGCCGCGGUAAUAC
rnacentral:rRNA from 1 species